CCCCGAAGGAUUAUACUCAGUUUUCCUGGAGUUGGCUGGGGUAAAUGAGAAGCUGACUGCCUUGCUCAGGGUCACUGAGGCCAUUAGGAGUCAGAUUCAGGACCUGAACCUAGAUCAUUCUAACUCCAAGAUGAAGAAACUGAGGCACAGAGAGGUUCAGUGACUUCCUU